CAUUGCUUGCAUAUAUAUAUUAUAUAUAUAUGUAUGUGUGUGUGUGUGUGUAUACACACACACACACACAUACACAGAGCAUGAGCAUGCACCAGAUCU
rnacentral:miRNA from 1 species